rnacentral:tRNA from 2 species
GGGGCUAUAGCUCAGUUGGUAGAGCGCUUGAAUGGCAUUCAAGAGGUCAGGAGUUCGAAUCUCCUUAGCUCCA